rnacentral:rRNA from 1 species
UACGGAAGGCAGCAGUGGGGAAUAUUGCACAAUGGGCGAAAGCCUGAUGCAGCUAUGCCGCGUGUAUGAAGAAGGCCUUAGGGUUGUAAAGUACUUUCAUCGGGGAGGAAAAACAAAACUAAUAAUUUUAUUUCUUGACGUUACCCGAAAAAGAAGCACCGGCUAACUCCGUGCCAGCAGCCGCGGUAAUACGGAGGGUGCUAGCGUUAAUCAGAAUUACUGGGCGUAAAGAGCACGUAGGUGGUUUUUUUAAAGUCAGAUGUGAAUCCCUGGGCUUAACCUAGGAACUGCAUUUUGAAACUGAAAUACUAGAGUAUCGUAGAGGGAGGUAGAAUUCUAGGUGUAGCGGUGAAAUGCGUAGAUAUCUGGAGGAAUACCUGUGGCGAAAGCGGCCUCCUAAACGAAUACUGACACUGAGGUGCGAAAGCGUGGGGAGCAAACAGGGAUUAAUACC